CGGGCGUCUUAACAUGCAAGUCGAACGAAGAGCGAUGGAAGCUUGCUUCUAUCAAUCUUAGUGGCGAACGGGUGAGUAACGCGUAAUCAACCUGCCCUUCAGAGGGGGACAACAGUUGGAAACGACUGCUAAUACCGCAUACGAUCUAAUCUCGGCAUCGAGGAUAGAUGAAAGGUGGCCUCUACAUGUAAGCUAUCACUGAAGGAGGGGAUUGCGUCUGAUUAGCUAGUUGGAGGGGUAACGGCCCACCAAGGCGAUGAUCAGUAGCCGGUCUGAGAGGAUGAGCGGCCACAUUGGGACUGAGACACGGCCCAGACUCCUACGGGAGGCAGCAGUGGGGAAUCUUCCGCAAUGGACGAAAGUCUGACGGAGCAACGCCGCGUGAGUGAUGACGGCCUUCGGGUUGUAAAGCUCUGUUAAUCGGGACGAAAGGCCUUCUUGCGAAUAGU
rnacentral:rRNA from 1 species